UACGUAGGGGGCAAGCGUUGUCCGGAAUCAUUGGGCGUAAAGAGCGUGUAGGCGGCUUGGUAAGUCCGCUGUGAAAGUCCAGGGCUCAACCCUGGAAUGCCGGUGGAAACUGUCAAGCUUGAGUACGGAAGAGGCGAGUGGAAUUCCUGGUGUAGCGGUGGAAUGCGCAGAUAGUCAGGAGGAACACCGAUGGCGAAGGC
rnacentral:rRNA from 1 species